UGGGCAGACGAAGUGAGUGAUACCCUGCUUCCAGGAAAAGCCACUAAGCUUCAGCUAUAGACGACCGUACCGCAAACCGACACUGGUGCGCGAGAUGAGUAUUCUAAGGCGCUUGAGAGAACUGGAGAAGGAACUCGGCAAAUUGACACCGUAACUUCGGAAGAAGGUGUGCCUUUAGUAGGUGAACCAUUGACUUGGGGAGCCCAAUGAGGCCGCAGAGAAUCGGUGGCUGCGACUGUUUACUAAAAACACAGCACUCUGCAAAGACGAAAGUCGACGUAUAGGGUGUGACGCCUGCCCGGUGCUGGAAGAUUAAUUGAUGGGGUGCAAGCUCUUGAUCGAAGUCCCAGUAAACGGCGGCCGUAACUAUAACGGUCCUAAGGUAGCGAAAUUCCUUGUCGGGUAAGUUCCGAUCUGCACGAAUGGCGUAACGAUGGCCACACUGUCUCCUCCAGAGACUCAGCGAAGUUGAAAUGUUUGUGAUGAUGCAAUCUCCCCGCGGAAAGACGGAAAGACCCCAUGAACCUUUACUGUAGCUUUACAUUGGACUUUGAACAGAUCUGUGUAGGAUAGGUGGGAGGCUUUGAAGUACGGUCGCUAGAUCGUAUGGAGCCAACGUUGAAAUACCACCCUGGUGUGUUUGAGGUUCUAACCUUGGCCCGUGAUCCGGGUUGGGGACAGUGUAUGGUGGGCAGUUUGACUGGGGCGGUCUCCUCCCAAAGUGUAACGGAGGAGUUCGAAGGUACGCUAAAUACGGUCGGAAAUCGUGUUGAUAGUGCAUUGGCAUAAGCGUGCUUGACUGCGAGACUGACAAGUCGAGCAGGUACGAAAGUAGGACAAAGUGAUCCGGUGGUUCUGUAUGGAAGGGCCAUCGCUCAACGGAUAAAAGGUACUCUGGGGAUAACAGGCUGAUACCGCCCAAGAGUUCAUAUCGACGGCGGUGUUUGGCACCUCGAUGUCGGCUCAUCUCAUCCUGGGGCUGUAGCCGGUCCCAAGGGUAUGGCUGUUCGCCAUUUAAAGAGGUACGUGAGCUGGGUUUAAAACGUCGUGAGACAGUUUGGUCCCUAUCUUCCGUGGGCGCUGCAAGAUUAAGAGAGCCUGCUCCUAGUACGAGAGGACCGGAGUGGACGCACCGCUGGUGUAUCGGUUGUCAUGCCAAUGGCAUUGCCGAGUAGCUAAGUGCGGAAGAGAUAACCGCUGAAAGCAUCUAAGCGGGAAACUCGUCUCAAGAUGAGUCUUGCCGGGGCCUUGAGCCCCCUGAAGAGUCGUUCGAGACCAGGGCGUUGAUAGGCUGGGUGUGGAAGCGCAGUAAUGCGUUAAGCUAACCAGUACUAAUUGCUCGUGAGGCUUGACCCG
rnacentral:rRNA from 1 species